rnacentral:rRNA from 1 species
GAUGAACGCUGGCGGCGUGCCUAAUACAUGCAAGUCGAGCGAACGGACGAGAAGCUUGCUUCUCUGAUGUUAGCGGCGGACGGGUGAGUAACACGUGGAUAACCUACCUAUAAGACUGGGAUAACUUCGUGAAACCGGAGCUAAUACCGGAUAAUAUUUUGAACCGCAUGGUUCAAAAGUGAAAGACGGUCUUGCUGUCACUUAUAGAUGGAUCCGCGCUGCAUUAGCUAGUUGGUAAGGUAACGGCUUACCAAGGCAACGAUGCAUAGCCGACCUGAGAGGGUGAGCGGCCACACUGGAACUGAGACACGGUCCAGACUCCUACGGGAGGCAGCAGUAGGGAAUCUUCCGCAAUGGGCGAAAGCCUGACGGAGCAACGCCGCGUGAGUGAUGAAGGUCUUCGGAUCGUAAAACUCUGUUAUUAGGGAAGAACAUAUGUGUAAGUAACUGUGCACAUCUUGACGGUACCUAAUCAGAAAGCCACGGCUAACUACGUG